rnacentral:lncRNA from 1 species
GUUCACUUAACAUACAGCCACAAACUAAUGUUUUAAUUGAAUCGAUGAUAAUAUCAAGUAUCUCAUGUAAGGGGCACAGUGUCACAAGGUUAUUAAUUACACAAGAAACCUACAACGUACAAAUAUGUUGUUAAAUGUAAAUCUAGUUUUCCGUCGUAUAUAUAAUGGUCGAUUUCCUUCAUUUAACCUGUGCAUAACUUGGCUGGAUGUCGUUAAUGAUUAUGUGUGUUGAUAAUUUAUUAUUUAAAAUUGUGUUUAACUAUGUAUGUGCGUUUUAUUUUUGAAAGUGAAUUUAUUUAAAACACAAGAAAUAGAUUUUUCAAAUGCAAAAUUCUAGCAUGAAGGUCAUUGCUUCGUUUGGAUUGAAAACAAUACCAUUUCAACAAAGUUAUGAAGGAUUAGAAAUAAAAUGUGGAAGCUUAUUAAUGGACCAAACUUGCAAUGGAAGAACACAACAUGCACCAGUAUUUGUAAGAAUUUAUAAAACUCUUUUCGAUCAUUAUGCUAUUGUAUACCGAAACGAACUAAUACCGAGUACUGCAGUUUAUAUAAGUCUGAAAAACUGUCCAGAUACAAGGGA